UUUGGUGGCGAUAGCGAAGAGGUCACACCCGUUCCCAUGCCGAACACGGAAGUUAAGCUCUUCAGCGCCGAUGGUAGUCGGGGUUCCCCCUGUGAGAGUAGGACGCCGCCAAGC
rnacentral:rRNA from 1 species